rnacentral:sRNA from 1 species
UCCGGCGUUGAAACGCCGGGCUACUAUCAACCGUCCCUCCGGGACG